UGGGGAAUUUUGGACAAUGGGCGAAAGCCUGAUCCAGCAAUGCCGCGUGUGUGAAGAAGGCCUUCGGGUUGUAAAGCACUUUUGUCCGGAAAGAAAUCCUCUGGGUUAAUACCUCGGGGGGAUGACGGUACCGGAAGAAUAAGCACCGGCUAACUACGUGCCAGCAGCCGCGGUAAUACGUAGGGUGCAAGCGUUAAUCGGAAUUACUGGGCGUAAAGCGUGCGCAGGCGGUUUUGUAAGACGGAAUGUGAAAAUCCCCGGGCUUAAACCUGGGAACUGCAUUCGUGACUGCAAGGCUAGAGUAUGGCAGAGGGGGGUAAGAAAUUCCACGUGUGAGCAAGUGAAAUGCGUAGAGAUGUGGAGGAAUACCGAUGGCGAAGGCAGCCCCCUGGGCCAAAUACUGACGCUCAUGC
rnacentral:rRNA from 1 species